rnacentral:rRNA from 1 species
UACGUAGGGUGCAAGCGUUAAUCGGAAUUACUGGGCGUAAAGCGUGCGCAGGCGGUUGUGCAAGACAGGUGUGAAAUCCCCGGGCUUAACCUGGGAACUGCACUUGUGACUGCACGGCUUGAGUGCGGCAGAGGGGGAUGGAAUUCCACGUGUAGCAGUGAAAUGCGUAGAGAUGUGGAGGAACACCGAUGGCGAAGGCGGCCAUCUGGACCAGCACUGACGUUGAGGCACGAAAGCGUGGGGAGCAAACAGG